UUCUCCGUUGGUGAACCGCGGAGGAUCAUUA
rnacentral:rRNA from 1 species